UACGAAGGGGGGCUAGCGUUGCUCGGAAUUACUGGGCGUAAAGGGCGCGUAGGCGGCACUGUUAGUCAGGCGUGAAAUUCCUGGACUCAACCUGGGGACUGCGCUUGAUACGGCAGAGCUUGAGGAUGGAAGAGGGUCGCGGAAUUCCCAGUGUAGAGGUGAAAUUCGUAGAUAUUGGGAAGAACACCGGUGGCGAAGGCGGCGACCUGGUCCAUUACUGACGCUGAGGCGCGACAGCGUGGGGGAGCAAACAGG
rnacentral:rRNA from 1 species